rnacentral:lncRNA from 1 species
ACCGAGGUUUAAUACCAUAAAAGGAAGGUUUGGUUUGAUUGUCCCAACAGUUUAGUGGCCAAAAGAAUCCAAAAUUAAACUUUGUUUGAUUUCAACAAAAAUUGAAUUAUUGGGGUUCUUUGAUAGGGUCCUACUAAAAUGCGCACGGGUGAAGAAAAAGCGCCCGGGGAAAGAAAAAGCGCCCGGGGAAAAGAAAAAGCGCCCGGGG